rnacentral:lncRNA from 1 species
UCAAACUUCAAAGUUUUAUACUCAAUAAAGUUCUUUGCAUUCAAAAAUGUCACAUCCUGACAUCUAUCUUUUCUCUUGUGCAAGGCAUACACAAUGGGAAGAAUAGUUCGAGCAUCAGAAAAGUCAAGCUAGGAUUUGAAAAUUAUGAGACCAAAGUGCAUCCAUCAAAGCAAAACCUUUAAGACCAAACUGAACACAUUGGAAGCCUGAUAAUGAGUAAUUUACUCGAUUCUUGGCAGAACAUGAAGCCUCGGUCUACCUCAUUAUACCUUCCAGUGGCUGCAGCUGUUUUUUUGCGCUUGUUCACUUUCUACAAGAGUUUCAAGUUGUGGACAGUCUUUCUCAAUGCCACACAGUCAAUGUCCUGAUUUUUUCACCAAUAUCAUUGUGAUAAAUAGAAGAUGGUUAAUUGCAUCCAUUCUAGGCCAGUCAGUAGGAAGAAAUAAGUUUCAGCAAAUCAUAAAACUGCUUGCACUACAGACAUCAUGUCACCUGGGAGCUGUAGUUCACCACCUCCAUCAUUUCUUGCUGACAUGCUUGACAAAGAGCAAAGUAUUCUGAAGUUCCAUCCAAGUUUCCUGCCAAGCUAAUUUGUUUGAUGACUACUGGGAGUAACCACGUGUGCAUCAUGAAACAUCUCAACAAACCUGUAACAUCUAUGUACAGUUAUACUGACUUAACUUGAAAUGAAGCUUUCUAGGUAGUUUCAAAAAGCUGAAUCUCUAGUAUUUUUUUAACUGUCUGUAACCAAACUGCUUUGAUUUUAUAUAAAACAUCCCAGGACAAUCUACUGAUAUUUUCAACUAAAUAGUUUUUACAAUCUGUGAUCCUUGACAUGUCAUGAACUUUAGUUCUCCAAGCAUAUGUUUCUAGGAGAAAGACAAAACUAAUAUUAUAGUCUGCUUGUUAGAAAAUGUAAUUCAAAACAAUACAAAUCAAA